rnacentral:rRNA from 1 species
CCUACGGGAGGCAGCAGUGAGGAAUAUUGGUCAAUGGGCGUAAGCCUGAACCAGCCAAGUCGCGUGAGGGAUGAAGGUUCUAUGGAUCGUAAACCUCUUUUAUAAGGGAAUAAAGUGUGGGACGUGUCCUGUUUUGUAUGUACCUUAUGAAUAAGGAUCGGCUAACUCCGUGCCAGCAGCCGCGGUAAUACGGAGGAUCCGAGCGUUAUCCGGAUUUAUUGGGUUUAAAGGGUGCGUAGGCGGCUUUUUAAGUCAGCGGUGAAAGUCUGCGGCUCAACCGUAAAAUUGCCGUUGAAACUGGGAGUCUUGAGUAGAUUUGAGGUAGGCGGAAUGCGUGGUGUAGCGGUGAAAUGCUUAGAUAUCACGCAGAACCCCGAUUGCGAAGGCAGCCUACCAGGC